AAAAUAGCUGUUUGCCUUGUUUCAUUUUGUGCUCUGUCUGUCGGGCCCCCUUGUCUGCAUGCUGGUUGCAGCUGUAACGCUGCAAUAGCAGCUUUGCAAAAACGCUGCAAGUAGCAGCUGCGCAUGGCCAACGCUGCAGUAAAGCAAAGCUCUGCACCGCGUGCAGUAGCAGCUGUGCAAACGGUGCUGCCAGUAGCCAGCUGCAACAAAACAAACGCUGCAAGUAAGCAGCUAGCUGCACGCUGCAGAUAAGCCAAGCUGCAACGCUCGCAGUAGCCAGCUCUGCAAACAACGAAAACCGCUGUCAGUAAUGUAGAAAAGCAGCUGCUGCAACGCCUGGGCAAGUAGCAGCUAAGCCUGGCAAACCGCUGGCAGUAGGCCAGCUGCAAAAAGGCACGCCUGGCAGCGAAAACAGGCCUGGCUGUCACGUUUGCUUCCAGCAAAUCACAAAACCAGCAGCACACAACACAGCGCGAUGCACUUGCCUCCUUUGGGCUUUGGCUAUAAAAAAAAAAAAACAGUGUAUGUCAGUAUCCCUUCAGGCACAAAGACCACAAAGCACAGAAGCCUCUCCACUCUUCAAAAGAUGUUUAAUAAAAAAUGGAGUGGCCUUCUCUCUCCUCCUCAAAACGGAGUUGGCGUUGAAGUUUGCAGCCAAAGCUUGUGGCCAAGCUAACAAAAAGCACAUAAAAGCAAAAAAAAAAAUCAAGCGAAAAGUAAAAAAAAUAUGACCAAA
rnacentral:rRNA from 1 species